CUUGGUGAAGGAAGAAAGCUCCUUUGUAAGGAAGAAAAUUUCCCUGCAGGAGCUUUCUCUGCAGCACUUCUUUCACUUAGCCGUGGAGGAGCUGGUGUGUGCUGGCUCCAUCAGUGUUUGUUUUGAGUCACAGCGGUGCUCUGUGGGCCUGGCAUUUCAAAGCCUUGCACUGUUGCCUUUACAGCGCACGGUAGAUUUGCCUGGAGGAGAACAUUGCACAGGCGUAUGCUGAAGUGUGACUCCAAAACACUGCAUCUAAUAUUGUCCGAGACCCCUGCAAAAUAUAAUGAGAAAGGAGUAUGCAUCUGGUCUGUUCCCUAGACUAGCGGUGGCUGUUAGGCAGGUUACUACAAGCUGAUGGAAUUAAAUAGUUUGGAAGUCCUGGUGUAACUAUUGAUUUUUAAUUUCUUUUUUUUUGUUGAGACAGUCCUGGUCUAGGCAGGCAAACAAGGGAAGCGGAGGCCUUUGUGAGCUCUCAUGACGAUGAGCAGAACAGCCAGGGCAUCCGCAUGCACAUGGCUGGUACUUCUCAGACCCUGCAGCCGAGUCCUGUUGCCCCUGCUGUGUUCUUGGAAGUCCCUUCUCUAAACCAGGAGGAGGGAAAGGUGCUCUCAGUGCUUCAGCUCCCAGGCUGCCUUUAGUGCAUGUAAUUAGUGAGGAACAAAGGUUGGUAUCUUCCAUAGUCACGGGCAUUAAUGAAGAAGUCAUCUGCUUAAUGGGGGACAUGCAUGUGAAACUGUUUCAUCUAUGUGGUCGACUGGGUGCUUUUUAUGUAUAUUAACCUGCAAAUGUGUAGUAGGUGGUAAAAUUUAUGAGCGCUAUAACCAUUUUUAUCAAGUGUGCCCUUUAAAAUCAGGGGGUUUUUAUGAGUGUUACAUGCAUAUGUUCGUUAUUGUUCAAUCUCUGCUCACCCUUUGCCUUAGUGGGAGGGAGGGGAAAGAGAAAUUAAGGCCUGAAGAGAAGAUUUAGUUCGUUGAAUAAAAGUUUCAGGUCUGCAGAUUGGCUGGUGUUUAAGGUUGUAUAAUCCAGCGGAGAGGAAUUUGGAGGAGGACGUGGCCAUUCAAUUCUAAAUGCCUGAAUAUAAUGUUAAAAUAAAACAUGUAUCAAAUAGGUCAUAGCUUGCUACAGCUGGAUGGGGAUCUAAUGUCCUUGCCAGAAUCUAACUCAGUGCAGGAAGAAGACACAGAUGUUGAGAUGCACUGGACUGAUGUUCAGAAGAAGGAAGUUGUAACUGGACCCUUCCAUCUACAUCUUGGUGCUCAUGCAGGGAUCACGUGGGAUGGGAUUCUCACAGAUGUAGGUGGGACACAAAACUUAGAGUAGUGCAGGGGGAGGAUAUCCAUGCUCAGUUGCAAGCCUUGGAUCAUUCCUCAUUACCAUCAGUGCUUGGUAUGUUCUUAUGCCUGUUUUCCUCUUUUGAUUCCAAGCUUCCUUUUCCUAUUAUAAAGUCUUUUUUUUCUCCCCUCCUUAAAAAAAAAAAAAGAAAAAGAAAAGCUGCUGUUAGGAUUAUGUCCUAUUACUUAAAGUGCUUGUUCUGCUCCAUGUACACAUAAAUUUAAUUAUAUUGGCCAUAUGAAAGAUGCAUGAAGGUUCAGUUUUGGGAGGUAUGCCAAAGAUAGCUCCUGAACGUGUGGCUGUUUGAUGUAGGCUUGUGCGUAGUAAUUGAAUUACUGAUCAAGCACUCUAUCAAUGAAAUAAUCUUGGUAAAUUCCGUGUACUUAAGUAACUAUAGCCUCGAGGCUGUGGUAAGUGGAGUAACCUUGUUAUUGAUUUUGUUGUUGAUUAUUCAUAUCUUAUACUUUCUAAUAGGAGCACCCUUUUCUGUGUUCCUAUUAAACGCAGCGGUUCCUGCGUCCUUCAGAAGUGAGAUUUAUCUUCCAAUCACUUGCAAAGGACUUUUGUAACUGCUCAUACGAGGGACUUCUCAGAUGUCCUUCUCAUAGCCCCACUACUGCUCAGCCACAGGGAAUCCUGCUGCAGUGCUGCUCUGCUUUAAUGCUCUCUCCUGUGGCCCUUGUGGAAUAGAAAAAGUAGGGCAUUCUCUAAUUCUUCUCACUACUUUCCACACAGAAAGUCCUUGCUCUAAUUCUGUUGUGCUUUUGUAGGAAAGUCAGUUUACGUCUUCUCCAUCGCUUCUUCCAUCUGUCCUUAUCUGCCCUUAUAUCGUGAGGGAGACUGAAGGUUGCUCUCAGGACCCAUCAACUCCAUGAAGCUGAGUCAUGUAUCGUACGCAGUGUGUUGUUGCAAGUUGGAUCUGACGUGCUCCUUGAGCAGCUGUAGUCCCUGGUGGCGUGUUGCAGUAAUUUCUUUAUGUGUUCAGGAGGUGUUCCAGUGAAACUGAACCUCUGCAUCAUGCUCAAGAGAGCAGCACAAGGAUGGCAGAAAACAGCUGUGUGAGGCUGUAGCGUAGAACUGAUCGUAUCACAGGAUGUCUCAUCUUCCUGAACACGGGUGAAGAUCUGAAUCUCAAGUGUCAUUCAGCACCCACCCUCACCCCGCUUCCAGAAACUUAUAGCAGGUCUAUUUUCUCUAGUACUUCCGUCUCCCAGCAUAUGGCACACAUUUCUUGCUCAGCUCUCCUCCAUCCCCAGCAUUUCUGGCUGCUGUGAGGAUGCCGGGUCUCAGCAGAGUGCGUUGGCUUUGCAGCAGCUGCAAUCCAGUUUUCUGCUCUUGCUCUCUGCUGUACUGAGGGAGAGUGGCAAAGGUGAUGGUCUGGGGACUGCUACUUAGACACCAAGCAGAGGCCAAUAACAAAGAUGCAUUUAUAGUUAUUUUUAUGCAGUGCUGUGGCCGAUACAAAUUUCUGAAGUCUGUACAGUGCUUUUCACCCAGGGUAAUUGAUGUACAGGCUCUGUCAGACCUUUCAAAUCAGCAGUGCCUCGGGCUUGGUGGUGCUGUCUCUUCCCUUUACCCCUAGCUUUUCUCAGUCUCAUGCAGUUCAAUACUUGCAUCUCCCUCAUUUCUGCUGUGCCGUUUGGCUCCAGUUGUGCUAAAGCCCAGAGGCCAAUCCAUUAUGAAAAUCAGCUAGUAGCAGCAGCAGGCACCAUUAGCUAAAGAGCAGCUUUCUGCCACAGGGAAACAUCCCUAUGUCACACAGUCCUGGAAGGGAGUGGUCAUGCAGCUUCCUCUGAGCCUCUGUUGGCCAUCAGGGAAGGAGAUGAUACAAGAUGUGUGCCCUCUUCAUUGCACCUGUCCUGUUGUUUAGGAGAGAGAUCGCUCCCUCUGCAGGUAGGCAGUGUUGCUUUUGCAACGUGGAAGUCAAUUUUCUGGUAGUCAAUCAGAUUUUGAUUGAGUGCUUUUCAGGUCAUGAGAUGUAAUUCUAAUAGCAGCCAAUUAUCUGUUUUAAAAGAUGCCUCUUAAAAAGGACCUCUUCUCAAAAGGCUUUGAAGAUCUCUAAGCUCCUAACAGGCUGCAUUCUUUUAGUAAAAUGAAAGCAGAAUUCCCUAUUGCCUCCCACCCAGAGGAGAUGAAGGGGAGAUGCCCAUGAAGAUGAACUCUGCCUCCUCUUUGGGAGCAUGGUGAAGGACUGCACAGAGCUGGCACUGCUGGGGCACCCCCUGCACUGGACACAGUUGUGAAUUGAGGAUGAGUAUCACUGAUAAAAUGGAGGUCAACAACUGAACGGCAUCUCGUGGAAAAGAUUCGGAGGUGACCUCAAAACCAAACCUGUCUGAAGGUUUUCGUGGGGCUGGAAUCAGUGGAUGCUGAAGUAGCUCUUAGCUGUGCCAGGAGGCCUCUUAGCGACCAGCACUUAUACAGGCUCACACAUCUCCCACAUCGAAAUCGGCAUUCUUGGAUCCGCUGAGUUUUGAUCCACAGUGAGAUAAGGCCUAAGGGAACUCUCUCUGGAGUGUAUUUCAUUUUGUUCUCUGAAUCAAGAGACGGAGCCCAAAGCAAGACCUGUGGAUGUGAAGAAAUGGGCUCUGAAAGCGCCUGUCCCGCACGUCCCUGCUGUUUGAGACACGGUGAAGCCUGUGCUGGUGGCAGUCACAAGAAGAGCUGUCUGUGCUCAGGUGGCUUCCAGGGCUGUCUGUGCUCAGGGAAAGGAAACAUCCUCCAUUGUUUCUCCCCUAUAUUUGACUGAAAUGAAGCUGCCCGCCUGCACAGCGGUACCCACCUCUGAAUAGUUUGCUAUUCUGGGCCCUGUGCAAUUUGGAGACUGACACCUUAACUGUUGGAGCACCAACCACUUCACAGAGCUCUCCCAGGCACUGCAGUCCCUGCUUCCUGCAUGGAAAGCAUCACCGAUACCAAGCAAGUGGAGAGGGCGGCCUUUCAUAGGAUCAUAGCCUUCAGGACUCUGGGGUGCCACAACUCCUGUUUGAAACAUAUAAUUGCUGUGGCAUUCAGUGCAACUGACGACAGGGAAGCUCGAACCUGGCAACUGCUACCUUAAAAAGUAAUAGAAGAAGGAAGCAAAAACCCCUGGGGAAGCUGUGCAUACAUAGCAAAGGAGGAGCAAUGGGCUUGCAUUGGUAAACUGCUCCAUAGGGCACCCAUUCAGUGCUAUAAAGAAGGUAUCCAGGCUGUGUGUUUCCCAGCUCCUGCAGCGGUAGGAUGGACCAUGAGUGUGCAUAGGAAGGUGCGUGAAGGCAGGCUAUGCUUUCCUGGGCCAGUUCUCUCCCUCUGAGGCUGCUCCGUGCAGAGCCAGCAGUGUGUGCAGCACUGACCAACGUGGUAUUUGAGAGCUUGAGAUCUCACCGUCUACUUUCUCUUUUCAAUUGCCCUCCCACUGUUGUUCUACAGCAUGCGGUGCCUUCAGCCAUGGUUCAGCUGCCAAAGAAGGUGGGGGAGUGCUGUGCUCCCCAGCUCCAUGCGGACCGGGAGAGAGGCAGAGAAACAGAGGAGGCAGGUGCUAUUCUGCAGGUAAUGAAAGCGAUCAGCUGGCUGGCCAUGCAGCACAGCCCUCCUGCCCUCCCCAGUCCUGCUCCCUGCCUUGCCAGGAGCGCACUUGGGUAGAAAGGUCUGAAAAAUCAGGACAGCUUCUAUUCUAUGGGAACAAAAGGUUUCCUUUGUUGUAAUUCCUCUGUUGGGCUCUGCACGAGGCCCUCGCAUGGGGCCCUGCAGCACGUGCCCUGCAUCAUGGGGACAAAAGCAGAUUACUGCAGGGAUGCCUGAAAAGGAGCCAUGACUUGUUCCCUUGUUGCUACAAUCUUGUUUACAGGCUGAGCUUCGCAGGGAGCAAUUCACACAGGUUUCUUUUGCAUUAUAAUAGUAAAGAUUUUUCUUGGUGGGAGAAAAAAAGAGGAGAGCGGGUGAGGUGAGGAUUUAUCACAGAGCCUUGCCUGAAAUGAUUUAGGCUGUUAAGACCAUUUAUGCUGAAGGAAGUGAUCAGUUUCUGCUUCCCAAACGUCGUCUCCCAGUGCCGUGGGCCUGAUUCAGCAGGGCAGCUCCAUGUGAAGAGAAACGAAGUUGAUGAAGUAUUAGGAGGAGAUGACGGCAGCUAAAGGGGAGUUCAGUGGUUGUCCUUCACUUUUGUCUUCUGUCUUUUCAAGCUUAAGGCAGCAACUUCCAAAAUUCUUCGUGAGCCAAUCAGAGCACUGAUGGAGGGAACACCUUCAGCCACUGCACCUUAACAGCCACCUCGAGUGGCCCUGUGCUGGGUUUUUAAUCAUAUGAUGGCUUUUAAUUGAUGCUUUCUGUAAUAAACGAGGGGCUGCUGUGUUUUCACUGGGUUAUUCACUUGCUUCUGUAGUAGCUUUCAGUUGCAUGAUGCACAAACGGAGUGCAGCCUUCAGAAGUGACCUGUGGGACUUGAGGGCUGAUCCACUGCUACUGAAACGGUAGGACCAAAUUCUGCUGCCUGCUGGAUGCUGGGCCUCAAAGCAGGGAUGCAGAGAGGUGUAGAAAGCAGCAGUGCUCCCUGCUGAGCUCUGUGCAUGGGGCUGCUGCUCAUGGCUGGUGGGACAAAGCACUGCAGUGCAGACUGUGCUGCUGAACGCCAACAUAGGCUGAGCACUGGGGGGGCUGCAGCUCCUUUGAGGGCAGGUAGAGGACUUCCAUUUUAUUUUACUUUCCUUUCCCCUUUCCCCUCCUUUCCUUUUUCCUUUCCGUUUUCCUUUCCCCUCCUUUCCUUUUUCCUUUCCCCUCCUUUCUUUUCCCCUUUCCCCUCCUGUCCUUUUUCCUUUCCCCUUUCCCCUCCUGUCCUUUUUCCUUUCCUUUUUCCUUUCCCUUUCCCCUACUGUCCUUUUUCCUUUCCAUUCCCCUUUCCCUUUCCCCUCCUGUCCUUUUUCCUUUUUCCUUUUCUUUUCCCUUUUCUUUUCCCUUUCCUUUUUCCCUUCCCCUUUCCCCUCCUGUCCUUUUCCUUUUUCCCUUCCCCUUUCCCCUCCUGUCCUUUUCCUUUUUCCUUUUCCCUUUCCUUUUUCCCUUCCCCUUUCCCCUUUCCACUCCUGUCCUUUUCCUUUUUCCCUUUCCUUUUUCCCUUUCCCUUUCCCCUCCUGUCCUUUUCCUUUUUCCCUUUCCUUUUUCCUUUUCUUUUUCCUUUCUUUUCCCCUUUCCCCCCCUGUCCUUUUUCCUUUUUCCUUUUCCCUUUCCUUGUUCCCUUUCCCCUUUUUACUUUCCCCUUUUUUCUUUCCCCUUUUUCCUUUUCCUUGUCUUUUUCCUUUUCUUUUUCCUUUCCCCUUUCCCAUCCUGUCCUCUUUUCCUUUUUCCUUUUCCUUUUCUUUUUCCUUUCCCCUUUCCCCUCCUGUCCCAUUCCUUUUUCCCGUUCCUUUUUCCUUUUCUUUUCCCUUUCC
ensembl:lncRNA